CGAGUUGACGGCUUGGGGCCACAUCGUGGGAUGGGAGAGUGGCUGUGAUGGCAGUGAUGAGUCAUGAGCUUAUGGUCGGGAGUCCAGACCCUGUCCCUUGAUUAGCUGUGUGACCUUUCAUAUGUCACAUAAUCCCUGUGGGGGUUGGGCUUCACAGCCAUUAAAUGGGUUUAAUACCCAGGAACCUGACUACCUUGAGGUGGUCAUAGGUCAGGCCUGCAGCUCCAGACUUGGGGUGUUCUGCUUGGGCAGCCACCAGGGAAGACUACUUGGGGAGAAGGAGGCAGUGCCUUGGGGUUAAGAAGAUGGUGCUCCUCCCUCAGGGUAACGGGAGGGGGAGUUCUUGAAUGUCCUGGGGUAUCCAGGUCAGGAGAGAAGAGGACACGACCUGAGCCUCAGCAGGUAGUGGUGAGUUUCAGGCUGCUGAGGCUGUGGCAGAGGGAGUGUUCCGUUCUCUGCCCCACCCCUUUGAAAUACCAGGAGCAGAGCUGACACAGGCUGAAAGGGAAACUCCUAGUUGUGAUGCAGCCAAGAGCCUGUCAGCUUCUGUAGGGGAUUUUCCUUACCCUGAGUGUAUAGAGAGGUGAUGACCACUAGCAGCUGAGAAACCAUAUAGCCGCCUGCGCAGGUGUCUGCAGCACUGAAGCCUACAUUUCUGAAGCACAUGGCUCUGUCUUGGAUGAUUCUAGAAAACCCACUCAUCUGAAGGGGAUCCGAGAGCCUGUGCCUCAUCCUGGAAUCCUGGCCAAGUUACUCUCUAUCACACCAGGCUUGUGUAACAUAACCCUGCAGUGCAGAGCUCCAGGGGCCACCGAGGACCUGAAAGUGACCUGGGAGAGCAAGGGCCUCCUCAGAGAGCUGGAGCAGAGAGAAACACCAAGACCCGCCCUGAACCCCUGGACCCUGGCUGUGAGCCUGCCCCUGUGCCAGUGCAACACCCACCUCACCUGUGUGGUCAGCAACCAGGUGGAUAAGAAAGCUGCAAUCUUAGAUCUUAGGGAAGUGUGUGUCCAAGAAACAGAUCCACACAAACAGGACACGGUUAGACUGCUGCCAGGCCUCCUAGGGGAUGUUGUGGGUGUGAUGUUGGUCCUGGGAACUGGGCUGUAUCUUUUGAAGACAUGUAAGAAGAAAAAGAAGAUGAAGAUAAGAAGAGGUGGAGAACUGCAGGAGAACCAUGGGGUGGAUGAUGAUGCCAACCACUAUGAAGAUCUCAGGCUGCCAGUGUCUCAGAAGGACAAGGACAAGGGCAUUGGUGAACAAUAUCUGGAAAAAGAGGAGCCGCUCACUGCUGUCUACAGUGAGGUUCAUUAUCACUGUCCAGGCACGGCCAUUAAGAUCAUUCGAAUGGAGGAAGCAAAAGGAUCUGGCACUCCCAGGACACCUACACUCUGAGCCUGAAGCCUGCACACCUCUGCCUUUCUUAGUGCUGGUCCAGUUUGAGCUGCCCCUUGUCUGUACGCUGAUCUCACAGCCAUAGUUCUACAGUGUACCCAUGACCUGUUCACAUUCUGAGACACCUCCCCAAGAUGCACUCACAGUUGGGCAAAGAUUCUUUCCCUAUCAUUGACAUGGUUCCUGACCCCUCUCCUCCAAGAACCUUCCCAAGGGGGCCCUGUCUGACUGAGCAGGUGGAAAAUCCCAGCCACCUCUGCCGUGUCACUGGUGUGUGUACUUCUGAGGACACAAGCCCAGGCGUGGGAACGGUGCAGAGAGGAGGGAGGUAGGACUUGGCUUCUGGAUGCUGAGUUGGAGGACAGCAUGGGUGGGUAGGAGCCCACAAAGGAACAGGCUGAGGCUUUCUCUGCAGAUUUUAUAUAGGGCUCCCUUGGGGGCAUCAGGCAGUGUGUGUGUACAUGAAUGUUGGGGCAGGUGUCUAGUACAUAUGAUACAACUGAACUAAAGCCACCUUUCUUUUCUCCUGUGCUAAUCUGAACCUAAUCUUCAGUCUUAGCCUGUGGAUCCAAACUCAACUUCCUAUAGAGUAGAAAGAGAAAUUUGUGUUAUCUCAAAAGCUUCCUAGCCUCUGUGUCUCAGAGAAUGACCCUAACAGGCCACAGUUUGGGGUUGUCUUAGGAAAACAGCUUCAGCUCUUUCCUUUGCCUAGGAUAGAGCACUUAGCUAUAAGAACAGAGCUGUGGUAUUCUUCCACGCCCCCUUGGAGAGGACUACUUGGGCUCUGAUGGGUGAAGCUGUUGAGAAGGUCUGACCCAGCCCUCUCCAGCCUCUUCUUAUUCUGACCCUCCGUGCCCCAGUAGCUAUGCUGGCCCCAAACCCUAGGUCAUCCACUUCUUUGCUAACUUGCAUCCCUCUGCCCGAAAUGAAAUUUCCCUCUCCCUGUUUCUCACCCUCACUCCCACCUGCUGAAAUCCACUGUGCUACUCAAAGCCCUUCCCAAGAUGCUUGUUCCAUGGAACUCUGGAUCUCAAAGGUUUAAACAUGAUCUCUUCCCACAUCUGACUUUUCUGAACACCUUGGACACUAUGUAGGAUCCCUGCCACAGUUUGUCCUGGGAUGAUCAUGAGUCUUCCUGCAGGGCUAACCUGGGCUCUCUCAGGAGGAUGUGGGGCUGUGGGAGAAGAGGGCUGAGGAGACAAGCACUUCUUGGAGCAAAGGGUCUGGGCCAACCUUUUCCCAUCCCAUGGGGUCAGCAGAGGGAGAUGCAGCACAAGAGCUGCUGACAGACUCUCUGGCGUGGCUCUACCUGGAAACGGAUGGACACAAUGACCUCCUUGACUAUACUCAGCCUGAGGUCCUAAUUGGAGACUUCCUUACUCCCUUAUCCACCACUUAUUGUGAACCCGGCCAUGCUUCCACCACAGUAUGUGAGUGUUUCUUCCCUCCUGAGGGGUCUUCAGCUUCUUGCAGCCUCUGCCUCCUGUUUGAGUCCCGGCUUUUAUGCAGAGCUAGGCUAACUCUAGCGCCACAAGGUGCUGUGGCACGUCUGGUGGCCUAGAUCCUUGGGUCUCUUAGUUUCCCCCACGGCUCAGGUGAACUCAUUUCCUCAUUGCCACCCACAGAAAACAAAGAUCUGAACAGAGUCCCUGCUAAGAGAUUGAGCACUAGGACAUAAUGCUAGGUGCCUGCCGGACGGUGGACGAGUGAGGCAGGAGGGAGAGGAGCCAUAGUAGGGCUUCAUUUUUGCCAUCUUCCAGUUUAGGCUGAGCGUAAAGCUGACAGUGCCAGUCUCCUCACUGGCUUCCCAGGUGGCUGGACUUGACGAGGUAUCAGUGCACGUUAGCCCUGGGGCAGCGGAAGAUGUGAUCAUCCAACAGACCUUCCCACCUCAUCGAAGGCACAAACAAACAAACACAAAAGAAGAACAAGGCUUUUCAGGCUGUUUUGAACCAGUUUUUGUCCCAGGCACUUUGCAAAUAUUAUUCUUUUUAAUUAUUUUUAAAUACAUUUUUAAUUUUAAAAUGCUAAAUGUUUUGCUCUUCUUAUGAUUUCUUCCAAUGAUAUCAAACUUAAAAGUCCUCUGCAUUCCAAGGAUCCAGUAAAUGUUUUUAUAUUUUCUUCUCGUUUAAAACAUGACGUUAUACACAUUUCACUCAUAUUAUCCUUCUAAUUCUAAGAACCUGCUAGAGUUGAUAUUGACCAACAGCAUUCAUAACUAGUUGGUGGCAAAGCAAAGCCUGAGAUCCACCCCUGGCUGAUUCCAG
rnacentral:lncRNA from 1 species